rnacentral:rRNA from 1 species
GAUGAACGCUAGCUACAGGCUUAACACAUGCAAGUCGAGGGGAAACGACAUCGAAAGCUUGCUUUUGAUGGGCGUCGACCGGCGCACGGGUGAGUAACGCGUAUCCAACCUGCCCACCACUUGGGGAUAACCUUGCGAAAGUAAGACUAAUACCCAAUGACGUCUCUAGAAGACAUCUGAAGGAGAUUAAAGAUUUAUCGGUGAUGGAUGGGGAUGCGUCUGAUUAGCUUGUUGGAGGGGUAACGGCCCACCAAGGCGACGAUCAGUAGGGGUUCUGAGAGGAAGGUCCCCCACAUUGGAACUGAGACACGGUCCAAACUCCUACGGGAGGCAGCAGUGAGGAAUAUUGGUCAAUGGGCGAGAGCCUGAACCAGCCAAGUAGCGUGCAGGAUGACGGCCCUAUGGGUUGUAAACUGCUUUUAUAAGGGAAUAAAGUGAGUCUCGUGAGACUUUUUGCAUGUACCUUAUGAAUAAGGACCGGCUAAUUCCGUGCCAGCCGCCGGUAA